UACGUAGGUGGCAAGCGUUGUCCGGAUUUACUGGGCGUAAAGGGCGUGCAGGCGGUCUGUUAAGUGCAGGGUGAAAGCCCCCGGCUCAACUGGGGAGGGUCAUUCGAUACUGAUCGACUUGAAGGCAGGAGAGGGAAGUGGAAUUCCCGGUGUAGUGGUGAAAUGCGUAGAUAUCGGGAGGAACACCAGUGGCGAAGGCGACUUCCUGGCCUGUUCUUGACGCUGAGGCGCGAAAGCUAGGGGAGCAAACGGG
rnacentral:rRNA from 1 species